AACCCAUGGUGUGGACAUUGUAUCAAGAGGCCUUUAAACGCUCCCAACACUCAUUGAAAGGUUCUCCAUCAUCUUGUUUGAAGUUGAAGAUUUGUCCCCUUAAUGUGGCU